rnacentral:rRNA from 4 species
AAGUAAAAGUCGUAACAAGGUCUCCGUUGGUGAACCAGCGGAGGGAUCAUUAC